AACACAUGUGACCCAGACCACCCAGACACUUGAAGAACCUUAUUGGGAUUUCAGGUUCAUUUUUUUCUAAUGUGCGCUGGAAUUGGAACCACUUGGGAAUACAGUUCAGAAAAUGGACUUGAGUGGAAAUACAUACGCAAACAAAACCUUUUCCCCUACGGAGAAGAGAAAAAGGAGCUGAAGUGUCUAACAGCUACCAGGAAGUGCCCGUCAACCAGCGUGAAUAAGAAAAAGGAGAACAAGGGAAAUAGAUUGCCCUCGGGAAGAGAGACACAGAGCCCAGGAUCUGCAGAUUAGAAACACUAAUCAGGAUGAUGUUUGUACAGCAUCUUGUUCCAGGUGGCUUGGAGCAUUUGGCAGGUGGCAUCUUGCCCAAGACACUAGAACUCCCAGGUGGGAGGGAUUUAUGGACUGGCAAGGGGGCCUGCUCUAUGCACCUCGCCCAGUAGCUCAGUAGCCCCUAUGGCCCGUUUUGGCCACCCCUUGCACACCUGUUCUCAAGGUGACUCCUUUAGUUUCAACCUGGGCUACUUGUGAGGGUUCAGUUCCCUCACCACAAUCUAAGCGAGACGGAACCAGAGCCCCUUGGAGUAAUGAGAAAUGAAACUCCAAGAUACACCGUUUGAUGAACUGUCUGGGAGAACAGCUCAAACGCAAAUAUGCCUGUGCCUCAGGUGCAGUGAGCAAACACUGGCUCACUGUCAGCUUCAUGCCAGGCUUCGAGCUUAG